CCUGCCUGAGCUGCCAACGCGCAGGCGCUAGAGGCCUGCAGGGCCCGCUGGGAAAUGUGGUUCACCGCCCCUCACCUAAGCCGGGCCGUAGGCGGAGCCACCAGAUGCGCGGAGCCCUGAAAUAACUGCUAUAACGAUGUUGCAUUAUGAAUAAUAAUGAUUUCAACUUGAGUACCACUGAUGCUGUUCUAUGCAAGAAUAUUUCCAUUAGGAAGUAUGAAAUUUCUACUUGGAAAUAUACCGCAUCCAUGGCUCCUGAACUAGGCCUCACCUCUCUCUUUGAAGUCCCCAAAGUCUGAUCAGGCCUGAGAUAUGGAGGUUUGCAAGAUCCAAGAAGACAUGGAAGGAAGGAAGAAAAUGUCUCCUCCUAUAAGGAGUGUAGAGUCUCAAGGGAGGAGGAUGGGAACUGGACUAUAACACUGAAAGAGGAUGGUUGAAGAAACUGAAAGGGCAGACCUAGAUACCCAAGGCGCUUUCCUUAAAAGGCCUAAAACUGCAAAAGCCUCCACAUAAUUACAUUAAAAGCCAUAG